AGCUUUGCGCAGUGGCGAUGUCGUAACCAAUGAGGUACAUCCGAGGAGCGAUUAUUGCUAGUUGAAAACUUAUUGACACGAGAAGUUGUUUCAAUAACAUAAAAAUAGAUUUGAAAAAAGGCUGUUGGAAUCACACAAAUCUG